rnacentral:rRNA from 1 species
UACGUAGGUGGCGAGCGUUGUCCGGAUUUACUGGGCGUAAAGAGCGCGCAGGCGGUCGUACAAGUCGCGUGUGAAAGCCCCCGGCUCAACUGGGGAGGGUCACGCGAUACUGUUCGACUCGAAGGCAGGAGAGGGAAGUGGAAUUCCCGGUGUAGUGGUGAAAUGCGUAGAUAUCGGGAGGAACACCAGUGGCGAAGGCGGCUCGCUGGGCCAUUCCUGACGCUGAGACGCGAAAGCUAGGGGAGCGAACAGG